rnacentral:rRNA from 1 species
AGCGAACGCUGGCGGCAUGCUUAACACAUGCAAGUCGCACGGAGGGGGCAACCCCUCAGUGGCGGACGGGUGAGUAACGCGUAGGUAUCUAUCCAUGGGUGGGGGAUAACAGUGGGAAACUGCUGCUAAUACCGCAUGACACCUGAGGGUCAAAGGCGCAAGUCGCCUGUGGAGGAGCCUUCGUCCGAUUAGCUAGUUGGUGGGGUAAAGGCCUACCAAGGCGACGAUCGGUAGCUGGUCUGAGAGGACGACCAGCCACACUGGAACUGAGACACGGUCCAGACUCCUACGGGAGGCAGCAGUGGGGAAUUUUGGACAAUGGGCGCAAGCCUGAUCCAGCAAUGCCGCGUGCAGGAUGAAGGCC